UUAUAAUUAAAAAAGAUUAAGAAGAAAUUAAAUGAAAUCAUUAAAAUUAAAUAAUUUGGCGGUAUUUUAAAUAGUUAGAGGAACUUGUUAGUUAAAUGAUAUUCCACGAAUGGAGUGUCCUAAUAGAAUUUUUAUAUAUUGUUGUAUUAAAAUUAUUUUAUAAGAAUUAUAAUUAAAAUAUUUAAUUUAAUUAGAAUUCAAAUCAAAAUGUAGAAUUGUUAGGAUUAAAUGAGUUACAGUUUAAUAUAGUAUUGGAUUUAUGAUUUUAAGAAAAUAAUGAGAGAGGAUUUAAAAGUAAAUUUAAAGAAAUUUUUAAAUUGAAAAUUUAAUUAAAAUAUG
rnacentral:rRNA from 1 species